rnacentral:rRNA from 1 species
ACGAACGCUGGCGGCGUGCUUAACACAUGCCAGUCGAACGGAAAGGCCCUGCUUUUGUGGGGUGCUCGAGUGGCGAACGGGUGAGUAACACGUGAGUAACCUGCCCUUGACUUUGGGAUAACUUCAGGAAACUGGGGCUAAUACCGGAUAGGAGCUCCUGCUGCAUGGUGGGGGUUGGAAAGUUUCGGCGGUUGGGGAUGGACUCGCGGCUUAUCAGCUUGUUGGUGGGGUAGUGGCUUACCAAGGCUUUGACGGGUAGCCGGCCUGAGAGGGUGACCGGCCACAUUGGGACUUGAGAUACGGCCCAGACUCCUACGGGAGGCAGCAGUGGGGAAUAUUGCACAAUGGGCGGAAGCCUGAUGCAGCAACGCCGCGUGCGGGAUGACGGCCUUCGGGUUGUAAACCGCUUUCGCCUGUGACGAAGCGUGAGUGACGGUAAUGGGUAAAGAAGCACCGGCUAACUACGUG